GAGCAACGCCGCGUGAGGGAUGAAGGCCUCUGGGCUGUAAACCUCUUUUAUCAAGGAAGAAGAUCUGACGGUACUUGAUGAAUAAGCCACGGCUAAUUCCGUGCCAGCAGCCGCGGUAAUACGGGAGUGGCAAGCGUUAUCCGGAAUUAUUGGGCGUAAAGCGUCCGCAGGCGGUCUUACAAGUCUGUCGUUAAAGCGUGGAGCUUAACUCCAUUUCGGCGAUGGAAACUGUAAGACUAGAGUGUGGUAGGGGCAGAGGGAAUUCCCGGUGUAGCGGUGAAAUGCGUAGAUAUCGGGAAGAACACCAGUGGCGAAGGCGCUCUGCUGGGCCAUAACUGACGCUCAUGGACGAAAGCUAGGGGAGCGAAAGGGAUUAGAUACCCCUGUAGUCCUAGCCGUAAACGAUGAACACUAGGUGUCGGGGGAAUCGACCCCCUCGGUGUCGUAGCCAACGCGUUAAGUGUUCCGCCUGGGGAGUACGCACGCAAGUGUGAAACUCAAAGGAAUUGACGGGGGCCCGCACAAGCGGUGGAGUAUGUGGUUUAAUUCGAUGCAACGCGAAGAACCUUACCAGGGUUUGACAUCCUGCGAAUCCCUUGGAAACUUGGGAGUGCCUUCGGGAGCGCAGUGACAGGUGGUGCAUGGCUGUCGUCAGCUCGUGUCGUGAGAUGUUGGGUUAAGUCCCGCAACGAGCGCAACCCACGUCUUUAGUUGCCAGCAUUUAGUUGGGCACUCUAGAGAGACCGCCGGUGAUAAACCGGAGGAAGGUGUGGAUGACGUCAAGUCAUCAUGCCCCUUACAUCCUGGGCUACACACGUACUACAAUGCUACGGACAAAGGGCAGCAAACUCGCGAGAGCUAGCCAAUCCCAUAAACCGUGGCUCAGUUCAGAUCGUAGGCUGCAACUCGCCUACGUGAAGGAGGAAUCGCUAGUAAUCGCAGGUCAGCAUACUGCGGUGAAUACGUUCCCGGGCCUUGUACACACCGCCCGUCACACCAUGGAAGUUGGCCACGCCCGAAGUCGUUACUCCAACCCUUGUGGAGGAGGAUGCCGAAGGUGGGGCUGAUGACUGGGGUGAAGUCGUAACAAGGUAGCCGUACCGGAAGGUG
rnacentral:rRNA from 1 species